GACGAACGCUGGCGGCGUGCUUAACACAUGCAAGUCGAACGGAAAGGCCCUGCUUUUGUGGGGUGCUCGUGUGGCGAACGGGUGAGUAACACGUGAGUAACCUGCCCUUGACUUUGUGAUAACUUCAGGAAACUGGGGCUAAUACCGUAUAGGAGCUCCUGCUGCAUGGUGGUGGUUGGAAAGUUUCGGCGGUUGGGGAUGGACUCGCGGCUUAUCAGCUUGUUGGUGGGGUAGUUGCUUACCAAGGCUUUGACGGGUAGCCGGCCUGAGAGGGUGACCGGGAAAAUUGGGAGUGAGAUACGGAACAGAAGGGAACGGGAGGCAGCAGUGGGGAAUAUUGCACAAUGGGAGGAAGGAUGAUGCAGCAACGCCGCGUGCGGGAUGACGGGCUUCGGGUUGUAAACCGAUGUAGCCUGUGACGAAGCGUGAGUGACGGUAAUGGGUAAAGAAGCACCGGCUAACUACGUG
rnacentral:rRNA from 1 species